GGGGCAAUGCUAGUGUUUUGAUAGGAUCUAACCCAAGUAAUUAUGCUGGAUAUCUUCAAACUGUUGAUGAUGUUGAAGAUUUGAAAUCUGAUUUGGAUACCUAUUUUGAAGAAAAAGUCAUCAAAUGGAAAGAGCCUGGACAUUUUGAUGUCAUUAUGUGGUGGAAAUUGAACAGUCAAAAGUUUAGAAUAUUAUCAAAGAUGGCUUGUGACGUGUUGUCGAUUCCGAUCACUACUGUUGCUUCAGAGUCUGCAUUUAGUGCGGGUGGUCGAGUUAUAGAACCACAUCGAGCCUCUCUAGCAGUAGACACGGUGCAAAUGUUACUUUGUGCCGGGGAUUGGUUGCGAGCUACUUAUGGGAUUAAGGGGAAAAAGAAGGAUGACACUCAAGACAUAAAAGAAUAUACAAUGUCUUGAGAGUUUUGUGAAGAAACAUUGGAUGAGAUUUGCAAGGAGCUUCAAGAUCAAAUGCCAUGUUUUAUAAAUAUUGUGUAAUUUUGAUACUUUUUGUGGAUUUAUUUUGUGAUUUUGCAUUGUGGAUUGAAAUUUUGGGAAUGACUACAUAAUAUAUUUUAUUUAUUAUUAA